AUAUUAAAUUUUAAGCUUAAACUGUAACUAGCUCUUCUGGUUACAGUUAUACAGUGAUUGCAGUGCAUUGGGUAUGAUAGCUACUGAGACUGUCACAAGUAAUAUUAAUAAUGAGAUGGAGAACAAACAAAACUUGACUGAAGCUCCCACUUUUCUUUACUUCCCAAGCUUCUCCGUGUGUGACUGCACUGAUUGUUGUGGAGGUUUUUUAUUCUCCGUAUCUUUUAUAAAAAUCAGCACUGCUGUACUGCCUACAGAAAAGGAGUUGAUUUCCCAGAAAUCACUAGCCUGGUGGAAAUGGCACUUCCGUAGCGUGAUGUGAGCAGGAAGCUGAUGAAAACAAAUCUCAACAGAAGAAAAGGGGAGCAGGUGAGGUAAGAGCCUGCACAGCUAUGGCAGAUGACAGACAUUUUAGCACCAUGGGUAUCCUCACUGAAAUCUUGGGCUUCUGAGAAGGAUGACUGAUGCUUCGUUAUGAAGAGCAAGCCUGCUUUGAGCUGAGCAGCCCUACUUCAUGAGCGCACCGUGGUAAGUGACCGAUAGCUAGACUCACCUGGACCACUGUCCCCAUAGGCUCAGGUGGAAGAAUGCAAGGGAGAAGCACAGCAGCAGUACACACAGGAGUACUUGCCUGGAGUUUCUCCAGUGGUAACAGGGGUGAUGCUUCCCCUGCUAGGGUGUCAUAUUCUGAAUCAUAGAACACGAUCACCUUUUAAACUUUUAAACAAAUGCCUUUUGUUUGCAAGAACCUGCAUAGAACAGGUUAUGCAGUCUUAUACUGUGCGUUUUAACUGCCUCCUAGGGACACUCCCUCUACUGAUGCACGGUGCACCCGAGCAACAGAUCUGUUUAUGCAUGCUUCUGAAAUUUGUCUGUAGUCAUAGAUGCAGUCACCUGUUUCUAGCUCCACUUCUAGUUUGCGCCGCUCAUAGUCACAGCUUCUCGGGUCGACUUGGUCCUCUGCAGUGUGGCUUAAAAAAGCUGCAGAGGUUAAUAAGAAGCACGUGGCGGAUUCUUCCCAGGUACGGAAUAAACAGACUGCAUGGCUGAUGUCUGGGCAACGUUGCUUGUAGUUCUGCUUCCAUUCUCAUAGUACCCACCUGUUUUCAACACAGGACUGAGGUAACAAGGUAAGUACUAGGGAUCGUCAAGACUGCAGCUAUCUCCAGGAAGACAACGCCUAAGCCUUUCUCCAGUGGAAACUUACUAGCAGAACACUAGCAGUGCUACUGCUGUAAGUUAUGCUGGUGUGUAUUCCCCCUAGGGAUGUUUGUUCCAGAAUAACUAUAGCGGUCUAACUAGUCAAGAUAAGGGUGCUUUAUUUUAGGUGACAGAAAUAGGUUAAUAUAUAUUUUACAGAAAAAUGUUUUUCGUAAUAUCUUUUUUUCCAUAUAUCAUUACAUGUUCUAAAAUAUGACUUGUAACUGAAAUAAAACAUCUUAAGAUGGAUUAA